rnacentral:tRNA from 2 species
GGGUGCAUGGUCUAGUGGUAUGAUUUUCGCUUCGCAUGUGAAAGGUCCCCGGUUCGAUCCCGGGUGCAUCCA